rnacentral:rRNA from 1 species
AGAGUUUGAUCCUGGCUCAGGAUGAACGCUGGCGGCGUGCUUAACACAUGCAAGUCGAACGGAGAUGUUGUGUGAGCGGAGAGUGCUUGCACUUAACAAUCUUUCAACAUCUUAGUGGCGGACGGGUGAGUAACGCGUGGGUAACCUGCCGUAUACAGGGGGAUAACACUUAGAAAUAGGUGCUAAUACCGCAUAAGCGCACAGUAUCGCAUGAUACAGUGUGAAAAACUCCGGUGGUAUACGAUGGACCCGCGUCUGAUUAGCUAGUUGGUGAGGUAACGGCCCACCAAGGCGACGAUCAGUAGCCGGCCUGAGAGGGUGAACGGCCACAUUGGGACUGAGACACGGCCCAAACUCCUACGGGAGGCAGCAGUGGGGAAUAUUGCACAAUGGGGGAAACCCUGAUGCAGCGACGCCGCGUGAGUGAAGAAGUAUUUCGGUAUGUAAAGCUCUAUCAGCAGGGAAGAAAAUGACGGUACCUGACUAAGAAGCCCCGGGCUAACUACGUGCCAGCAGCCGCGGU